rnacentral:lncRNA from 1 species
ACCCCAAUGAUUCACAGAGCUCUGUCCAGAAAAUAAUAAGUGAUAUAAUGAUGUCUUCUCAACAUGGUGGUACUGGUAUGGCAGGGGGGGGGUCAUUGGGGAAUGAGAUGAAAAAUGUGAACAGAUUAUUAAAUUCAAGCAAUAACGCNAAAUGAGAUGAAAAAUGUGAACAGAUUAUUAAAUUCAAGCAAUAACGCUAGCCUCGGUGGUGGUAACAGCCUUGCGGAAAAUGGAAUGGUCAAUGGCAAUACAGGUGUUGGGGUUUCUGGGUUUGCAAACAUGGGCAAUGGACUUGGAAGCCG